rnacentral:rRNA from 1 species
UACGGGGGGAGCAAGCGUUGUUCGGAUUUACUGGGCGUAAAGGGCGCGUAGGCGGUCAGUGCAAGUCAGUUGUGAAAUCUCCGAGCUUAACUCGGAAAGGUCAACUGAUACUGCUCGACUAGAGUGCGGAAGGGGCAACUGGAAUUCUUGGUGUAGCGGUGAAAUGCGUAGAUAUCAAGAGGAACACCUGCGGCGAAGGCGGGUUGCUGGGCCGACACUGACGCUGAUGCGCGAAAGCCAGGGGAGCGAACGGG